AUACAUCAUUAUUGUAAGUCGCUUUGGACAAAAGCGUCUGCUAAAUGUAAUGUA
rfam:Astyanax mexicanus chromosome 7, whole genome shotgun sequence.